rnacentral:rRNA from 1 species
UACGUAGGCAGCGAGCGUUGUUCGGAAUUACUGGGCGUAAAGAGUGUGUAGGCGGUGCUCUAAGUUCGGUGUGAAAUCUCCUGGCUUAACUGGGAGGGUGCGCCGGAAACUGGGGUGCUCGAGCGUGGGAGAGGAAAGCGGAAUUCCUGGUGUAGCGGUGAAAUGCGUAGAUAUCAGGAGGAACACCAGAGGCGAAGGCGGCGACCUGGACAGGCACUGACACUCAACUACGAAAGCGUGGGGAGCAAACAGG